UAAAGCCCAUUAGCCAAAACUUAAAACAAAAUAAACUUUCAACACUAACCCUCCUCUAUUUUGGCCGCUGGUACCGAAUCCGACCUUGAUUUAACCUGAAUCCUCUUCAAAUGGCCGGAUCGGAGUUCGCAGAAUCCAAACCCUAAACUACCAAACUCAACGAAAUCGAACAAAUACGCAUAUGGAAAAGAAACAACACACCAUACCGAACAUGAACAGUCUAACAAAAUGGCAAAGAUACAUCAGGCGUGAGUAAAUCAGAGCAACAAAGAACUUACCUCUUGAAGACUCCUUCAGGUUAUUGUCUUGCCAUUUUUGUGCAAGGUUUAGGGCAGGUUGGCAAGUUUGGAUGAGGACAAAGCAUUAGCUAGGCAGCAGGCUUUUGGGCAAUUCUUUCUAACAAGCAUUUGGAUGACUUUUUGAAUCAAAUUGUGAAUAGGUUAGGCAAGUUUGAAUCAAAUUUUAUGGACACUUGAAAUGGGAGUAACUUUGUAUGGAAUUUGACUUUUGAAUUAAUGAAUUUGAAUUUGAAACUUAGAA